GACGAACGCUGGCGGCGUGCUUAACACAUGCAAGUCGAACGGAAAGGCCUCUUUCGGGGGGUACUCGAGUGGCGAACGGGUGAGUAACACGUGAGUAACCUGCCCUUGACUUUGGGAUAACUUCAGGAAACUGGGGCUAAUACCGGAUAGGAGCUCCUGCUGCAUGGUGGGGGUUGGAAAGUUUCGGCGGUUGGGGAUGGACUCGCGGCUUAUCAGCUUGUUGGUGGGGUAGUGGCUUACCAAGGCUUUGACGGGUAGCAGGCCUGAGAGGGUGACCGGCCACAUUGGGACUGAGAUACGGCCCAGACUCCUACGGGAGGCAGCAGUGGGGAAUAUUGCACAAUGGGUGGAAGCCUGAUGCAGCAACGCCGUGUGCGGGAUGACGGCCUUCGGGUUGUAAACCGCUUUCGCUCAUGACGAAGCUUUGUGUGACGGUAGUGGGUAAAGAAGCACCGGCUAACUACGUG
rnacentral:rRNA from 1 species